GAUGAACGCUGGCGGCGUGCCUAAUACAUGCAAGUCGAGCGAACAGAUGAGAAGCUUGCUUCUCUGAUGUUAGCGGCGGACGGGUGAGUAACACGUGGGUAACCUACCUAUAAGACUGGGAUAACUCCGGGAAACCGGGGCUAAUACCGGAUAAUAUUUUGAACCGCAUGGUUCAAUAGUGAAAGACGGUUUCGGCUGUCACUUAUAGAUGGACCCGCGCCGUAUUAGCUAGUUGGUAAGGUGACGGCUUACCAAGGCGACGAUACGUAGCCGACCUGAGAGGGUGAUCGGUCACGCUCGAACUGAGACACGGUCCAGACUCCUACGUGAGGCAGCAGUUGGGAAUCUUCCGCAAUGGGCGGAAGCCUGACGGAGCAACGCCGCGUGAGUGAUUUAGGUCUUCGGAUCGUAAAACUCUGUUGUUAGGGAAGAACAAAUUUGUUAGUAACUGAACAAGUCUUGACGGUACCCAACCAGAAAGCCACGGCUAACUACGUGCCAGCCGCCGCCGUAA
rnacentral:rRNA from 1 species